rnacentral:lncRNA from 1 species
UACUUUCAAUAUUAUUUUAUAUAAAGCUCAUAUUACUAUCUUUCUGUUCUACAUACCAAUACAUUCUAUGUAUUUAGCAUCUCUGGAUGCUACAUUUCAUGAUGUAGGAUCGAAGACACACUCUCAUAGUUCUUUAUAGAAUUAGAAUUCAUUCGAAAUAGCUUCAGCAAUGGUGAGCCCUCCAUUCUCUAGAAGGCCUAGUUAAUUUCUAUCAAACUUCAUGUCAUUAUUUUAUGAUAUUUUGUUGAGGUCGUAUCACAAUUUAGAUAUUUCUUGUAUUUCUCAUAUUAGAGGCUUCAUGGACCUAUGUCAAAGGUUGUGAAAAUGUUCUUAAGAUCAAAUGUUUUCAAUUUCCCUUAACCAUGAUUUGGAAUUGGCUUUCUUAAAAUACUUUUUACAAUCAUCUUAUUGGAUGCAUGCUAAUGUGUAAGCUAAGUGGUUCUCUUGGGCCAACAAUGGUUCGGGUGUCUAUAAUGUCCAGGGCCUAGUCUUGGAUCGUGAAAGAUGCUAAGGACCACUACACCAACAAGCCAAUUUACUUAAAAUCAGCCUACACUCAAAAUAUCCCAACCUAUCCUACCAGAUAGUAUGUUUAUCAAAAUAAUCAAAUUAGUGCAUUAAGGUAGGCAUGUAAAGAUUAAAGAUCAAUAGUGAUAGAGAUUAGUUACAUCACAAGGAAAUCUUAGGACACAAUUUAUAAUAUCAACUCACCAUCUGAAAACCAACAAUCCUAACUAAGGUAAGGGAGGUGUGUAUCCCACAGACACUAAAUAUGACAUCAUGAUCUCAAUAGAUUAAGCCAUAACCAUACUCCAUGUCUAAUAAUAGCUCAACUACCAAACCACCCAAGAAAAGUAUUAUACAAUGUAAUAUAGUAAUAUAAGAUGUAGAAUACACAAUAUCACUAACAAGAUUCAAUUACAAUAAUACAAUAUAAAAGGAAAUAAGCAAAUGCAAUAUCAAACCUACAAAGAAAUGUAAUUCAAUACAAGUGAUGCAACGCAAUAGAGUGAAAGUAAUGUAAGCCAUAUCAUGGUCCUCACAACCCAUAUAUUUCACAAUCUCAAUCUCAUAUCUCAAUUAACUUUGUCGUUGAAUUCUCGAUCAAGGAUUUUAUAAAUUAUUUUAUUUUUCAACAUUAGUGUUUCUCAGUGGAACCAAUUUCAUGAAAAUGAAUGAAUAGAAUGAGGAUGUAUUCCCAUAAUUAAACCAAUAUUAUGUAAUAAAUUAACUCAAUAAUAGUAUAAAUAAGCUCAAGUGUCCUUAAAUGUCAAUAGAUUACUAUAUGUGUCAUUUUAUGACACCACUAUAGGAAUGAGUUAUGUGAGACAUCAAUAAUAUUUAUCCAAUCCCCUCUCUCAAGCAUCAUGAUAAUGAUAAAAUUAAAGAAAGCAUAAAUAAGGCCAAUUAUAUCAAUUAAAGCCCCCACCUUGGCAUCACGAUAAUGACAUGACAAAUAAUACUCAAUAAGACUAAUAAUAUCAAUUCAAGCCCCCACAUGGGUAUCACAUUAAUGAUAAGGAAAAUAAUGCUCAAUAAGGUUGAUAAUAUCAAUUCAAUCCCCCGCUAGGUCAUUAUAAUAAUGAUAACGAUCCAAAUAACACAACAUAGAGAAUAAACCCAAACCCUAACCCAUUUCAUACAAUAAUCUCCAUCUUCCUCAAUCAUAACACAUGCUAGAUUCAAUUAUGAAAACAAGAAUGAUACUAGUUAACAACAUGUCAUAAGUUUCACCUUCAUUCACUUACCUAAUAACUAAGACGGAAUUCUCUUUAUUAAUUUCUUGAGUAUACCAUCUUCUGACAUACCCUAAAAGAUUGUUAAUCCCUAAUAUUUACAUCAACUUUUACAAUUCUAUCUACGUCCCAAAUAUCAACUAAAUCUCAAUUAUUCCAUCUAAAUCUACAAAGAAGAUUUAAGGUCUUAAAUAGAUAAAAGUACAAUCUACCAUAAAAGUGCUAAUUUACACAAGAUCUAUAAGUCAUCUAUCUACAACCUACCAUAAAACUACAUACAAAUUGAGAAAAUAAGAAAAAAUCUAUUUAAUUAAUUCUUGUAAUAACCUUUCAGGUCAUUUUAUAUAUUUAUGCGUUUUUUCAUUAUUUGAGCUUUUCUAUAGCUUUCCCAAGUUAUUUACGACUUGCUGAGACUUAUGAUUUAGUUGCUAGGUAGUUCGUUUUAUUUUUAGAGCCAAUUCCCUAUUUUGAAAUCUUCGCUGGUUCCAAAUGGCCAUCGAGAAAAAACUUUAGUGAAAUGAUCUCGGAUGUGAAUUUUGACUAUGCCAACAGAUCGAAAAUAUUGAUAUUAGGAUAUGUAGACCUUUGGUUUGAAUACCAGCGCACCCAAACUCAAUUUUACCUAUUGAUCAGAAAGUUGAAAAUUUAAAAGUUUAGGUGUAGGAUCCAUAUGUGGUUGAAACGACAUAAUAUUGAAAAUCUAACUUUGCCAAAGUAUUUGGAACAUUGAAUUUACUGUGGUUAUAUAUUUCAUUUGUGAAAAUUAUAUUCUGGAUGUAUGUUGAGGCAUUAGCCAAAAUUUAGAAUCAAAUUCCAAGUUUCAGUUGUCAUAUAGGCAGCAAAUGACUGUGAUCGCAGAAAGAGACUCGUGAUCAUGAUGUUGUGAUCGUGGCAUGUAGGGGUUCGCAAUUUCCCUAGUUGAGGUCCUAGUAAGGGUUUUUUAAAUACCUAUUUUGGAUGAGAAUUAGCCCUCUUCUUCAUCUAUUGAGACCUAGAAACCCUCUUAGGUUGUGCUAAUCCCAAAUUGGUCAUGAUGGUUGACUUGGGAGCUUGACUACCAUCUUUUAUUGCAUUUGUCUUCAAAUUUAAGGUAAGAAACCCUUAAAUUCAUGCUUGAAUUUUGUAGUUUGGAUCCGAAAUCCCAAUUUAGCUUAGGUUUUGAUUUUAGCCCAAAGUAUGCUUAUAUUACACACAUUUCUUAGGGUUAUGAUUCAUUGUUCAUGUGUGAUUAUUGGGUUGGUAUCAAAAACUCAUUUUAGUAUGCGGGACCCAUUUGGGGUUUCAGUAUCAUUUUUGGACUUGAAUCACAAUAGUGUAAUAUGGGUAUUGUUAGACUCGUAUUGAUUAGUAGAUUAUAUUUUUGAUAGCAUGAUGGAUUUAGGAAGUGAAGACGAGCAUGCAGUGUAUGGAGUGAGGUUUUGGCAGUUCGGUAUUGAGGUAUACUUCUAUAUAUUUUUCUUCAUAGAUAAUGUGUUACAUAUAUUGCAUGUGCAUGUGAAUGUUAGGCUUGAUUAGACAUAGAAUAACUUAGCCUUGAGUAUUGAUGUUUGGGGGAUUAGAAGAGGAUUUUGAACCCGUAAGAUGUUAUGUUUAUAACCCUUGAGAAUCCUAUUGAAUUCUUCUUAGUUUAGAUUAUUUUGUAUCAUGGAUAUGAUAUGAUGCUAGGUUUGGGAUGUGGUUUUAGCAUUGGAAGCAUGAUUAGAAUCUUUUAAUCUUAUUGGGCUAGUAUGGUCGUAUUAAAAUUGUGACUCAAGUAGGGUUGACUUGAAUUCCCUUACUCUAGUAGACUUUCCUAUAUUAGUCUUGAAUAUGUAUUACUUUACAUCUAGAAGUUGAACUAGACAUCUUAGCCUAGUUGGGGAAUAGGAGUAUAAAUAUGGGAAUUAGGGAUUAAAAAUGUGAUUGUCCGGCACUUAGGCCAAGACUUGUGUUAGCCUUGUGGACUUAGCUGCGGAUGUUAGGCAUAGUUGAGAUUAGUAAUUCUUAGUAUAAGGUUACCUCAUGGCUUAUCGAAUAAUGAUGUAUUUCCCCGAAUAAUGAUAUUUGGGCCUAUAGAGAUGCUACUUCCUUUUGAUAUAAUAUUUGACCCAUAGAGAUGUUAUUUCCUCCUAGACUUGAUUGUUGGACCUAUAGAUGUGGGUUUCCUCUUAGAUAUGAUAAUUGGCCUAGAAAUGUGACAUUCCUCAUAAUCAUGAUGUAUGAUCUAUAGUUAUGAGAUGUCUUAUACAUAUUAUAUACUUAUUGUUAUGCCUCCUAGAUAUGAGAUGCCUCCUAUGUAAGAGAUGAUUAUAUGCUUAUUGAUAUUAUGCCUCUUAUAUGAGAGAUGAUUACAUGUUUAUUGAUAUUGUGCCUCCUAUAUGUGAGAUAAUUAGAGAUAUCCUAUGUCUUAUAAAUAUGAUUGCCGAUAUACGUUCGAAUAUGUAUAUAGGCUGAAGUCCAUGAUUAUGAUGUUGUGAUUAUUCCGAGCAUAUUAUUAGGCCAAGGUCCAUGUUAUGAUAUUGAUUGGAUAUUCAAGAAGUGUUUAUCAUUAUAAAAGAUGUGAUUAUAGUUUAUGAAUAUGCAUAUAUAUGUUUGUAUACAUAUCUCUCUGGUAUAGGAUGGAGGAAGAAGUGGUAUGAUGCUUAUUGUUCCAUUGAUAGAAUACUGGUAAUGGAAUGCAUAGAUUUGGUACAUUCAUGAUUAUUACAUCGGAAAUUGAUAUGAUUAUAGCUUAAAUGCAAUCUUAUGGCUGUUUUUCCUACUUAAGGGCUAAGUUAUGUGGUAGCUAGUCGUCUAUUAGGUGACUAGCACUUGAUAGUUACAAAUCUAACGUUCUAGUUAAUGAACAUUGCUUUUGUUGAAAUAUGAUAUCUAGAGAUGAUUGAUACGUGGCUAAUGAUGAUGUUGGGUUUAGCAUAGGUGUAGAACAGUUGAUAUUGAUUACUAAGUUCGCAAUGUCGAUGAUUUAGUAAAUGAGGAGUUGUGUAUUAAUGAGGCUAGAUAGUAAAAAAUGUUAGUAAUAAGAGAUGACUAAUUAAUAAUGAUGAGUUAUUUAUAAACGGUUAUAACACCCCAUAGUUUUUCCUGACUUGAUAUCACUUCGUAGUAAGCUUGGAGGGUCAAUCUUCUAAAAAUUUUUGAAGUGUCAAAAGGAUUUAGUCACAUUUUCAACUCCUAAUUUUUGAUGAUUUUAUUUUAGACCUUCCUGACCUUGGAAAGUUAAUUUGUAAGUUGAUUCAUGGUCGGGUGUGUCAAGGGUACAUCCCGUGUAAGUUUCAGAACUUUCAAAAUAUCGUAAGGGUAAGUUUGGAUGUCUAAAAUAAAGAGGCCUUAUGAUGGCCCCACGUCGGGAGGGCCAGUUAACCCAAAUAGGCAUCGCAUCACGAGGGCCAACUUACCCAAGUAGGAGUCAUGAUGCAAUGGCAUCCCAAUUCUGCAUUAUUUUUAUCCACAAUUUUAAGGGUAAUUGGGUCAUUUUCCUUUACCCCAAUUUGCCCGAACACAACAUUAAACCACUUUUGGAGAAAAACACAUCAGAAAAUUGAUAAAAUGUCUUAAAUAAAAACCCUAGUUCAUUCCCCUAAGAUCAAGAGUUCAACAAUUAAAGCCAAGGAUUUCAAGAACUUAAGUGUGAUUCGGAUUCCACUCUUCCUUCUAAGCAAUCUAAGGUGUGUGGUGUUUUCCUAAAACUACUUGGGCAUAAAGAAAUUGUUCAACAACUUUUAACAUUAUGAAAUCAUGAAUUUUGAAGGGUUUUAGAAUUUAUAUUACAAUGUUGCUUUAAAAAUUCUUUAAUGACAUUAUUGUUUUGGUAUUGAGGCCUUUCCCCCAAAUUGAUUUAAAAUCUUACAUAUAUAUAUGUAUGUGGUUGAAGUUGAUAAUUGAAUUGAGAGCAUAACUAUUUAUGCUCCCUCCAUGUUGUAAUAGCUCUUGAUUUUUAGUAUGCUAUUUAGAGGCAUGGUAUUAAUAUUCCUAACUAUUGUUGAAUGAUGUAAAAUUGAUCUUUAAAUUGAUGAGAGGGGUUUUACAUGUUGAUAAAUAUUGAAUAUAUAAUGAAAGAUUUCAUGGUUUGCCAAAAAUACAUGACCACCACAUGUUUGUUGAAAUGAUUGAAAGAAAUGAUUUUACACAGUUAGAUAAAUGUAUUGAAGAAUGACUUUUCUUGGAUUGUUUAAAGUUGGGUGGUCUAAACCUUAUGAGAGAGAAAAUUGUAAUAUGAUUUUUAUGGCUCUAAAACAUGACUUGCAAGUCUUGGUAUAGCGAUUCCAAUUCAAAUAAUGCCAUAGUAACACAGAAUAGAAUAGAAUGUGGAUUUUCUUACAGAUUUUUAGGUUUUAAACUUAGAAUGAUACAUGUUCAGAAAAGGCUAAAAAUAGGAAUAAAGAGAUGUUAUGUGGUUACCCUAAUAAGGCACGAGUCCAGAAAACUCAUUGCCCGAAACCUUUUUUUUUCAAUAUAGGAUUAUUAUGUCCCCUGGAGGGAUUAUACACUGGCCUAGUACCAUGUGGCGUAUCAGAAUCAGAAACUCCAACUCUUGCAGCAAAAUUGUGUUGGGGGCUUGGCCGCCGAGUGGGGUUGUAGAACUAUAGGGUGGACCACCUAACUCAGAAGUAAUACAAAGAUCAAAACUGCAUUGACAAGAAUGUUUAUGAAUAUUUAAGAAUUUCCCAUGUGUUUUAAAAUAUAUCAUGAAUGAUGUUUUCAUGACUUACUCUCAUCUAUUUUAUAUAUAUAAAUGUAUUAUUUUGGAUAUCUCUGCGUACCAGUACAAUUGUAUUGACCCCCUAUCUUUCAGGGUCUGAGGCUCAGUCUAGAGGUCCUGCUAAGUCGUUGACUUGUUCCGACAGAAGAUAAGUGUAUGCAGUUGGUGAGCAUUCUUUAUUUCGAAAGGCCUAUUUCUUUUCAGCCAGUUGUUAAUUAAUUUGGUCUAGGUCCACUGGGGCCUUGUCCCAGAUUCAAACAAGUUAUUGAGUCUUAUGUAGUAGAGAUUUCGUAAACUGAUAAAGAUGUUGUUUAGAUGUUGAAAAAAUUAUUUUCCAUAUUGUCGGACAGAUUUUAGAUUUAUGACCAUGAUUUCGUAUAUUAUAAUUCCAUAUCUUUUAUUUAUUAUUCGAGUAUUGUGCAUGAUUAUCAGAUGUAGAAGGGCGCUCGGGCCUCUAUGGUUCGGGAUGCUCAUCAUGGCCAGGGCCCUGGCUUGGGUCAUGACAAACUUGGUAUUAGAGCACCGUUCAUGGUCCCAGGGUGUCUGGAAAAUUGCUUGAUAUUAUUACUUGAUGUAAUAAAUUCUUACUGGGUAGCUGUAUAAACUAGUGUUAACUAGUUACACUUUUAUUUUUUUAUGAUAUUAUUCCGUGGCUUGAGUAUAUACAGCCCGAUGUAAUGUUUUCUUUCCCCUAGUGUGGUGAGGUUGACUGUGUUCCCUCCUGGUUAGUUGUAUUAGAUUGAUUUGAGGAUGUAUUAUGAUAUCAAAUAUAGCUUGACCUUUUGUGGCUCUGUUAUGACCCUAGAGUUGGCAAUUUAGUUAUAUUGCCUAUUAUUGAGUUUGAGAUCCUUAGGCUUGCCUUUUGGAUUGCGAAGGUUUUUACCUUGGCUAUUCUUUUUAAUAAAGCCCAUUUUGAGCUUGACUAGUUUUUAGGUUCGUUCUUCAUUUGUGGCUAGUCCAUCAUCCAAUAAUAAUUUUAUGUUGAUGUUUAGAUGUCGUGGAUUCAUUUCUUAGAUUUGCUGGGUACUUUCCUUGGGAUGGUUUUCCCUGCUAUUAGUGUAGGGUAUAGAUACUCCUUUGUUAUUGUGAUAUGGUUUUGUCUAGUGAGGUUGGAAAUUUAGAGGUAGUUGGCCUUUUCAGUGAUCGUUUCAUGAGUAGGCAAGUUGGAAAUUCUGGUGGUGGUUUUUUACCUUGACCUUGGUUUUGAGAUUGGUAUAUUUCUUCUUCGAUGAUGUGAUUCUUGGGUGGAUUCAGGACAUCCAAUUUUAGAAUUUGUUUGGCCCAAUGAGGCUUGGUGGAGUGUUUCUCCUUGGUGAUAUGUGUCUGUGGCUAUUCUUUGCUGAGAUGCAGUGUUAGAUUGAUUAGUUGUCGGCAAAGUUGCAUUUCUCUGAGUUGCAAGAGUUUUUGCCAAUACUGGUGUGAUUUUCAUCCUUGGGAUGUUUUUUAGUAUGUUUGGAUAGUUAAUGCCCUCCAGUGGUUUGGGAGUGAGUUAUUUGCAUUUUUAGCCAGUGAUUUAUUCUUCGGCAGGAUUUUUGUUUUGUGGCUAUAUUUCUUAUCCUCUAGUUGAGAUAGAUUUGGUUGAUUGUGUUAUCAGUAAGUGGUUAUCCCUGUGGUAGUUUUUGUUCUUUAGAUGUAUCUCAAUUGUGGCUUAGUAUGAUUUAUCUCAGAUAUGUCAAAUUUAAAUACAAAAGUCAAUUUUAAUGGUUGGUAAUGACAUAGGCUCAUUGGUUUAGUUUUGAGUUAACGCCUUGGAAUAGCGAUUUGGAAGUUGUGAUAGAUUUAGAGCAUUAAUGCCUACUCAUCUUCAGUUUUGGUUUAGGUAGUUAAGAUUGAGCAAUUCAGCCUUAGUAUAGAGAUUUUAGCUUAGUAUUGUUGAGCUUGCGUGCAGCUUUUGUUUCAGACUUGUCUUUGCUCAUAUUUCAUUUAUAGGCUAGUUGAGCCUACUCUCCUAUUUGGUCUUGAAGACAUCGGUUGGAAUAAAGUUAAUAAGUGUUCAGAUAAUAGCCCACAGGCCCCAUAUUAUUUAUUUCAAUUUUGACCUCGAGUUUUAGUUUUCUUUGGGAAUUUUGGAUGAUUUACUUAGUGGGAGCAAUAUACUCGAGUUGGAUUCAGCAUGGCUUCGUUCUUGGUAAAUGAGACAACCUGAAGUAGAAUAUUCAGUGAUGAGUAGUGAUACAUUGAAUUAUAAGAUCUCAGUUUGCUUUUUCAUGCGGACUGUUUUAGCAUUGGCAUGGAUUGCAUUCCUCGAUUAUUUGUGUGCCCUGACAAUACCUUAUGAGUUUAUUCUCAUAUUUGUCGUAUGGACUUUCAGCGGGUCAGCUUCAGUUCUUUGAGUUCUUCGUGAUGGGACUGCGUAGGCGAGACUCAAGUGAUUUUUCUCCUGGAUUGGAGUGGAUAGCAGGUGCAAAAUGGUAAAGAAACUGUAUAUUUGGAUUUGGACUUCGUGGAAUGACUCAUGACUUGGGUGAAUUUUGGCUUGGAUGAGCCUUUGUUGAUUUAUACCGAUAUAGAGAUGGUAUUAGCGUGGUGUGGUUCAGACGUGUGUGCAUCAGUCUUCUCGAUAAAAUUUGAGGCCAGUUAGAGAUUAAGUUGAAUUUUGGCUAUUUGGAAGUAGAAUGGCAGUGCUGGUUGAAAAAGGGAUACCUAUGGAAAAAUUCCAUAGAAGUAUUUUCUCUCCGUUAAGAUACCUAGGAAGUCAUGUGUAAUGCCCCACAAAAUCCUCUUCCAUUCUGAGCCUUAGAGCGUAGUUGGUAAAGUGAAAAUCCAAGUCAAAAUGUUUAAGAAAUAUCCUACCAAGUAUGAAAUACUUUGAAAUUGUGUGGGAAUCUAUUUGAGCAUGAAUUAAGAUCAUAUAGGUCCCCUAACUCAUGAACGAGUUGAAAACUUUCCUAACGUUCAAGUUUUAGUGACCGUCAAAAUUUGGGUCAACUUCAAUCGACCAUAACUCGUUGUAUAUUAAGAACUGGGUGGUUUCUAUAUGUCGAAUGAAAUAUCUUUGAAUUAUCUUUCCAACAAUUCCAAUUUCGCCUAUAUCCGAUAUCGGAGCAAAGAGUUAUGCCCAUUUUACUCCAGCAUGUCAAGCUGGAAAAUGGUGACGACGUUUCUGAUGGGCUAUCACGUUUCUGAUGCCCUUUUGGACGAUGUUGUCACAUUCUGAUGACAUUUCUGAUGACAUCAUCAGCCCUAGGCAGAAAAUCAAGAAUUUGGACCCCUUUUGUGACGACCAUUCGUGACGGCCUAUCACGAACCUGACGACCUGUCACGGAUGGCAUUAAAUAUAUUGUUCCAGCAAUUCAAGGGAGCUUUUGUAAGGGUAUUUUGGUCAUUUCCCACCCUUUUUGAGCCUCUAUAAAUAUCAGGAACCCUCAUUCAAAUCCUAAUUCAAUCAUUUCUUUUUCAACUCUCUCAAGAGAGUAUAACUAGGGUUUCAAUCAAGAACUCUAAUCUUUCAAAAAUCAUCCAUAAAUCUUCCAGGUUUCUUCAAGAAUCAAGUUCCUCAUAGUGUGGGCUUCAAGAAUUUAUUUAUUUCAAGUGUGGAUAAAGUUUUAAGCACUAAAGUUCAUCCAAUUUCCAAGGUUAAGGUAUGUAGAUGUUUAUUCUUGCGUCCCUUUCAUCCAAGAAGCUCAAGAACCCUUUUUAAAACUAAAAGAUUUUUUUGUUUAUGAGUUGUUAAUGAUUUGUAUGAGUUGAAAUGGAUGUUUAAUGUGUUGUUGAGUUUUGAUUUAUGUUUGCCUACAAAAGUUAUGAGCCUUAACCCUAGAAUGUGGAAUUCAAGUGAUGUUUGUGAUAAAUCCUCUUGUAGUUGUUUUUCUAUGUGAUGUGUUCAUGACUUUUGGGUGUAGAAAUGGUUAAAUAAGUGAAGAACGUUCCUCAUAGGUUUGAUAAAGAGCUUAGGUGAAGCAUCAGGGCCGCUAUACUAUGUUGAAUAGGAAACUCCAAAUUGUGAGCUAGUCCAUGCAUGCCUAGUGUUUGAUAAAAUGCCUUAGUGAGUGAAAUGUACCAAGAUAGCAUAAAAUCCCCAAGUAGGUGUAAAAUUGGUCAUGUCAAGUGGUUGUUGAAAGACCCUAGGGAACAAAGGAACAAGUCGGGAUAUGAUGGUUGUAAAUUCCUCGAUUUUGUGCUCUUUGAUAUAUGUUAAGCUUUUAAUACAUGUCAAGCGGUUAGCAAGUAAAUAGUGACGUGUUAGUAUGAAGUUUUCCCCCAAAUCAAGUGAUAUCCAAAUACAUGACCAAACCAAUAUAGGUAUGAAGUACUUGAUGUAAGAUCUCGUUGAAUGGGGUAUAAUCUAAUAGCAUGUCUUCCCUAGGCUAGUAUAUGAUGAUGAAUAGAGGUCUAUGUUUCCUAAAUGCUUAAUGUGAUGUCCUAAGGAUCUUGAGAGGGAAAUUAUAUUGUGAUGCCCAAGUACUUGAAGUGAUUCUUUAACGAUUGUGAUAAUACAUGAAUAAUUGUAAUGAUGAAUGAAUGUUUGUAAUGAUGAAUGAAUGAUGGUAGUGAUGAAUGGAUGACCGUGAUGAUGCAUGAAUGAUUUGUGAUGAAGAAUGAUUAUGUCUUACUUUUAUGUUAUCGAGUCCUGGGGGUAUUUAUACCCGUAUAUAGAGCUGUUGUCUAGAGCCUGUGUCAGUUUCUCGAUAAUUCAAAUCGAUCCAUGAUUCUCAGAACUUAGUGAACUAUAGAACUCUGUUUCCUCAGUCAAGUGUGAAGCUUAAUAAAUCUCGGUAAUCUCAGUUAUCUCUGUAAUCUUUGUAUCGCUAGUAACCUAGCCUCAAACCUGUAAUCAGCUCAGUUCUAAUAGUAGUUAAGUUAUUCAAUCCUAAUCUCAGAAGUGAUUCAAGUAAUCCAUUCAAGCUCUAUAUCGUCAGUCAGAUACCAUGAUUUGAUAUUUUUUUCUUCAGAUACGGAAAUAAGUGAUCUUAGUGUAACUCAGUCAGACCUUUUGAGUAAUAUGAUCAGUGUUAGAUUUAGUUCAGCCAGUGCUCAGUUGAGAAUUCAGUUCUGAGUCAUUUAGUUAGGAGUAAAAACUAGAACCGAGUGAGCUCAAGGAUGGGAUCUCACCUACUAGUAGAGGGUGUGAUUCUUAGAAGAAAUCCUUGUGCUCCAGAACUAUGUAGCCAACGUAGGUUGAGACAUCACACCUAUUAGUUGAGGGUUGAUAAGAGACAUCAUACAUGCUAGAUGAGAGUAGAUGAGGUGGCUUGACCAGCUAGAUAAGGGCUCUACCAUUCUCGUUUGAGGACCUGCUAGAUGAGGGUCACAUAGAGUUGUCUUUACCAGUGGUGCGGUAAUGACACCUUUCCAACUGGGGCACAGGUUGGACCCCAUCUUUGGUAGGUCAGGGCAUGUCAGUUAAGUGAUACUUCCUACAGUUUCAGUUUCAGAUUCAGUCUUAGUUUCAGAAUCAGUCUUCAAAAAGCAGUACUAUCAUAUAUAGUCAUCUAUCUUUAUGAGGAACUCAAAUAGUUUCAUUGAUUCAUGGACCAUCCCGACAGAUAGGCUUGGUCACACAUACAGUUAUUUGAUAUUAUAUUUAGAGAUAUACAGUCAAAUAGGCUUGAUCAUAGUAUCAGGUAGCUAUUGAGUAUUCUUGUUGUCAGAUUCAGAUAUAAUCAUAUUUCUUAUCAUUGAUAAAGCUUCCAAAAUCAUCUGUUAGAAAGGUUGAUCUCUAAUCCUGUCAGUCGAAAGCAGUAAGUCCAAGAAUUCAGUCAUUGAUGUAAGCACAUCUAGAUCCUCAGUUAUCAGUAUCAGAUGAGUCAGUGAUUUAGUAUCAUAGUGUCAGUAGUGAGUUCAGUCUGCAGUAAAGUAGUAUCUGAGUUUCAGUAUCUAGAGUUACGAUAAUUUUGUUCAUGUUUUGUGCAUUCAUGUAUGUGUUCUCAUGCGGCAUUUUCAUGAUUAUUCAGUUUAGAUAUUGUACAUGUGUGAACCCUUGCAUUAGCCUACCCCAUUUACAUACUCGGUACAUUUUUGUACUGACUCAUUUGCGUUAUGGUGUUUUAUUUGACACCAUAGGUUCAGAGGCACAGGAUCCAGUUUAUCCUUGGCACUUUGGUCCCAUUUAGUAGCAGUAGCAAUGGGUCCCCUUUUUUCGAGGACGAGUCUCAGUUUACUACUAUUGUUUUAGACUUUAUUUAUUUUCUGUUGACGGAUUUAGUUGGGGACAUUUCCUAUCAAAUCCAUAGUUCAGACAAUUUAGAGGAUUUUCAAACGGAUGUAUUAGUAUGCAGUUUUUUGUAUUAUGGGUAUUCAUGGAUGUAUUGAACCUUAUGGCUAGUUUUCGCAUUUAUUUUAGACAUUGUAUAGUGUACAAGUACAGAUAUCAGUAAAGGGUUAGCUUGUGGUUCUUUGGGGUCAUAAGCACUGUGUGACAUCUCGGGAUGAGAUCUCGGGGCGUUACAAACUUGGUAUCAGAGCCUAAGGUUCAAGAGUAUCCUAGGGAGUCUGAAAAGCCACAUCUAGUAAAGUCUUGUACAUGGGUGUGUAGCGCGCUAUAUUUAUGUACAAGAGGAUACAAGACGUUAUUUAGAGAAGUUCCUCUUCUUUUAGUGAUCAUUUCGUGCGAGUGAGCAUGAGCUCAAGUUGGUCCUCAGUCUAAUCCACUUCAUUCUUUCAUUUAUAGAGUAUGCCUCCUUGCAGAGACAUUGUCCAUAGGGUUGAUGAUCAGCCCCCUUAGCUAGUAGAUCCUGAAAAUGAGAGUGUGUCACAUGCAGAGUUUAGGGAAGCUUUCCAAGAGCUAGCCCAGGCGAUGACUAAUGUUCAUGGUAACCUUCAGGCUGUAGUCCCACUACAACAAGAUGGGAAUUCUUCCGCAGCCAGGGUUAGAAGCUUCAUGAAAAUGAACUCACCCAAAUUCUUUGGGUCAGUAGUAGGUGAGGAUCCACAGUUAUUUCUUGAGGAGGUGAAGAAGAUCACCUAGAUUAUGCAUGUGUCAUAGGAGGAGAGUGUUGAGUUUACAUCUUAUAGGUUGAAAGAUAUUGCUCAUGAUUGGGUAGUGAUGUAGGAGAAAAUUAUAGGGAUAAAUGCAGCUCUCGUGACUUGCCUAGAGUUUCAGAGUGUCUUUCUAGAUAGGUUUUUCCCACUAGAAAUGAGAGAAGCUAAGGUAGAAGAGUUUAUAAACCUAAGGCAAGGCUCCAUGACAGUGAAAGAGUAUUUUCUUAAGUUUAACCAAUCUCUAAGUAUGCUCCCAACUUGAUAAUUGACCCUAGAGCGAGUAUGAGUAAGUUUUUGACUGGGGUAUCAUGUGAUGUGAUGAAAAAAAAAAUUGCUCAAUAGAGAUAUGGAUCUUUCUAGGCUAAUAAUUCAUGCAGAAUAGAUUGAGGCAGAUAAGAUAAAUGAGAGAGGGAGAGUGAGUAAGAGAGCCAAAAUAGAUAGUCAUGGUUCUCGCAAUCAGGGUCUCAAGAUGGUAGUAGUUCUCAGUAUGGUUGGAGAUUUUUAGUUCCAACUUUAUCUUCAGCUAGUGUACUCACACCUGCGUUUGGGGGUGUCAGAUUUGAAGGAGCGCCAAAAUCCAAAGCCCAGAGUAGUACUAGUAGUGUUCGUACCAACCCGUUAUGUGAAGAAUAUGGUAAGAAUCAUAAGGGUGUGUGUAGAUCCGGUAGUGAUGUGUGCUUUGGAUAUGGCGUGACCCAUCACAAAGUUUGAGACUAUCCUAAGCAAGGUCCCCAAAGUCAGCUUAGUUAUCCUUCAGCUCAUAAUAGAUUGUAUGCACUUCAGGCUCGCCUUGAUCGGGAAAGAUCCCCUAAAAUUGACCCGGGUAUGUUAUGAGCCCUUCAUAUUUAUGUUAUGCAUUGAUAGAUCCUUUGCUUUCAUUUUGAGGUUAUAUGUUAGCAUGAGUCAUGCAUAAGUUUCAGAUCUUGACCGGUCAAUUAUGACCCAGUCUGUAGGUGCCCCGCGCACCGCUCCAGUAUUUUAGCGAAGUGUGUUUAGAGGGACAUAGAGUCUCAAGGGGGAGAUACCCCAUGGUAUUAUGAUGUUGCAUUCCAUUAGAUUCAUCUUGAUGCAUUUUCAGAUUUUCCUUAUAAUGUUAGCAUCAAUCAUUGUUGUAUUGUCAAGUCGUGCUUUCAAAAGUCAACUUAGCCGGACAUUCAUGCAUUAGAUAUGCACAUUCAGUAGAAAAAGUUUAGCUUGUCAGCGUGUGUUCAGUCGUGUAUUCAUGAGAUCAUCCCAGUUAUGAGUCCAUUCAUCAGAUAUGUAUGUGUAUUAUGAGAAUUUCAGCUAUGAGUAUCAUCAGUCGAGUAUUCUAUGCAUCAUAUAUGCAUGCCUAGUGUGAGAACUCUAUUUGUCAGUCAUUCCAUUUUCGUAGUCCUAAUCUGAGAUGUUUACAUUUCUUGAGUAAGUUUUGUUAAUCUGUAUUCUCAGUCUAUCAAACGACAUUCGAGGAUGAAUGUUCUCAAGGGGGAGAUAAUGUAAUGCCCUUCAAAAUUCUCUUCCAGUCUUAGCCUUAGAGCGUAGCUGGUAAGGCGAAAAUCUGAGUCAAAAUGUUUAAGAAAUAUCCUCCCAAGUAUGAAAUACUUUGAAAUCGUGUGGGAAUCUAUUUGAUCAUGAAUUAAGAUCAUAGAGGUCCCCUAACUCAUGAACGAGUUGAAAACUUUCCUAUCAUUCAAGUUUUAGUGACCGUCAAAAUUUGGGCCAAAUUUAAUCGACCAUAACUCUUUGUUUAUUAAAACCUAUGUGGUUUGACAUAUAUAUAAUGAAAUAUCUUUGAAUUAUCUUUCCAACUAUACCAAUUUUUCCUAAAUCUGAUAACGGCGCAAAGAGUUAUGCCCAUUUUACUCCAGCAUGUCAAGAUGAAAAACUGUGACGAGGUUUCUGACGGGCUAUCACGUUUCUGAUGCCCUUUUGGAUGAUGUCUUCACAUUCUAACGAUAUUUCUAAUGACGUCGUCAGCCCUGGGCAUAAAAUCAAGAAUUUGGACCCCUUUUGCAACGACCAUUUGUGACGGCCUAUCACGAACCUGACGGCCUGUCACGGAUCGCGUCAAGUAUAUUUUUCCAUCAAUUCAAGGGAGUUUUUACAAGGGUAUUUUGGUCAUUUCCCACACUUUUUGAUCCUUUAUAAAUAUCAGGAACCCUCAUUCAAACCCUAAUUAAAUCAUUUUCUUUUUCAACUCUCUCUAGAGAGUAUAACUAGGGUUUCAAUCAAGAACCCUAAUCUUCUAAAAAUCAUCCAUAAAUCUUCAAGGUUUCUUCAAGAAUCAAGUUCCUCAUAGUGUGGGAUUCAAGAAUUUAUUUAUUUCAAAUAUGGAUAAAGUUGCAAGCACUAAAGUUUAGCCAAUUUCAAAAGUUAAGGUAUAUAGAUGUUGAUUCUUGGGUUCUUUUCAUCCAAGAAGCUCAAGAACCCUUUUUAAAACUAAAAGAUUUUUAUGUUUUAUGAGUUGUUAAUGAUUUGUAUGAGUUGAAAUGGAUGUUUAAUGUGUUGUUGAAUUUUAAUUUAUUUUUUCCUACAAAAUUUAUGGGCUUUGACCCUAGUAUGUGGAAUUCAUGUGAUGUUUGUGAUAGACCCUCUUGAAGUUGUUUUUCCAUGUGAUGUGUUCAUGACUUUUGGGUAUAGAUAUGGUUGAAUAAGUGAAGAAUACUCCCUAUAGGUUUGAUAAAGAGCUUAGGUGAAGCAUAAGGACCGCUAUAGUAUGUUGAAUAGGAAACUCCAAAGUCCAUGCAUGCCUAGUGUUUGAUAAAAUGCCUUAGUGAGUGAAAUGUACCAAGAUAGCAUGAAAUCCCCAAGUAGGUGUAAAAUCGGUCGUGUCUAGUGGUUGUUGAAAGACCCUAGGGAACAAAGGAACAAGUCGAGAUAUCAUGGUUGUAAAUUCCCUGAUUUUAUGCUCUUUGAUAUAUACUAAGCUUUUAAUACAUGUCAAGUGGUUAGCAAGUAAGUAGUGACGUGUUAGUAUGAAGUUUUCCCCCAAAUCAAGUGAUAUCCAAAUACAUGGCAAGAUCAAUAUAGGUAUGAAGUACCUGAUCUAAGAUCUCAUUGAGUGGGGUAUAACCUAAUAGCAUGUCUUCCCUAGGCUAGUAUAUGAUGAUGAAUAGAUGUCUAUGUUUCCUAAAUGUUUAAUGCGAUGUACUAAGGAUCUUGAGAGGGAAAUAUGUUGUGAUUCCCAACUACUUGAAGUGAUUCUUUAAUGAUUGCGAUAAUACAUAAAUCAUUUUAACGAUGAAUAAAUGCUUGUAAUGAUGAAUGAAUGAUGGUAGUAAUGAAUGGAUGACCGUGAUGAUGCAUGAAUGGUUUGUGAUGAAAAAUAAUUAUGUCUUACUUUUAUGUUAUCGAGUCCUGGGGGUAUUUAUACCCAAAAAUAGAGCUGUUGUCUAGAGCCUGUGUCAAUUUCUCGAUAAUUCCAAUCGAGCCAUGAUUCUCAAAACUCAGUGAACUAUAGAACUCUGUUUCCUCAGACAAGUGCAAAGCUUAAUAAAGCUUGGUAAUCUCAGUUAUCUCUAUAAUCUCUAUAUUGCUAGUAACCUAUCCUCAAACCUGUAAUCAGCUCAGUUCUAAUAGUAGUCAAGUUAUUCAAUCCUAAUCUCAGAAGUGAUUCAAGUAAUCCAUUCAAGCUCUAUAUCGUCAGUCAGAUACCAUGAUUUCAUAUUUUUUUCUUCAGAUACGGAAAUAAGUGAUCUCAGUGUAACUCAGUCAGACCUUUUGAGUAAUAUGAUCAGUGUCAGAUUCUGUUCAGCUAGUAUUCAGUUGAGAAUUUAAUUCUGAGUCUUUCAGUUGGGAUAGAAACUAGCACCGAGCGAGCUCAAGGAUGGGAUCUCACCUACUAGUAGAGGGUGUGAUUCUUAGAAGUAAUCCUUGUGCUACAGAACUAUGUAGCCAGCGUAGGUUGAGAUAUCACACCUAUUAGUUGAGGGUGGAUAAGAGACAUCAUACCUGCUAGAUAAGGGUAGAUGAGGUAGCUUGACCUGCUAGAUGAGAGCUUCACCAUUCUCGUUUGAGGACCUGCUAGAUGAGGGUCACAUAGAGUUGUCUUUACGAGUGACGCAGUAAUGACACCCUUCCAACUGGGGCACAGGUUGGACCCCACCUGUGGUAGGUCGGGGCAGCCGAUUAAGUGACUACUUCCCAUAGUUUCAGUUUCAGAUUCAGUCUUAGUUUCAGAAUCAGUCUUCAGAAAUCAGGACUUUCAAAUAUAGUCAUCUAUCUUUAUGAGGAACUCAGAUAGUUCCAUUGAUUCAUGGACCAUCCCAGCAGAUAGGUUUGGUCACACAUACAGUUAUUUGAUAUUAUAUUUAGAUAUAUGCUGUCAGACAGGCUUGAUCACAGUAUCAGAUUUCUAUUGAGUAUUCUUGUUGUCAGAUUCAGAUAUAAUCAUAUUUCUUAUCAUUGAUAAAGCUUCCAAAAUCAUCUGUUAGAAAGGUUGAUCUCUAAUCCUGUCAGUCAAAAGUAGUAAGUCCAAGAAUUCAGUAAUUGAUGUAAGCACAUCCAGAUUCUCAGGUAUCAGUAUCAUAUGAGUCAGUGAUUCAGUAUCUCAGUGUCAGUAGUGAGUUCAGUCUGCAGUAAAGUGGUAUCUGAGUUUCAGUAUCUAGAGUUGUGAUAAUUUUGUUCAUGUUCUGUGCAUUCAUGUAUGUGUUCUAAUGCGGCAUUUUCAUGAUUAUUCAGUUUAGAUAUUGUACAUGCGUGAACCCUUGCAUUAGCCUACCCCGUCUACAUACUCGGUACAUUUUUGUACUGAUACAUUUGCAUUAUGGUGUUUUAUUUGACACCAUAGGUUCAGAACCACAGGAUCUAGUUUAUCCUUAGCAGUUUGGUCCCAUUCAGCAGCAGUAGCAAUGGGUCCUCUUUUUUUUAGGACAAUUCUCAGUUUACUACUAUUGUUUCAGACUUUAUUUAUUUUUUGUUGACGGAGUUAGUUGGGGACAUGUCCUAUCAAAUCCAUAGUUUAGACAGUUUAGAGGCUAUUUAGAUGGAUGUAUUAUAUUCAGUUUUUUGUAUUAUGAGUAUUCAUGGAUGUGUUGAACCUUAUGGCUAGUUUUCGUAUUUAUUUUAGACAUUGUGUAGUGUACAAGUACAGAUAUUAGUAAAGGGUUAGCUUGUGGUCCUUUGAGGUCAUAAGCACCGUGUGAAAUCUCAGGAUGAGAUCUCGGGCGUUACAUCAUGCUUGGAGCAUACGAGCCCAGUAUCUCAUCCCUAUAAGCUUUCGAGAUUCUUUCUAUCUUUUGAUUUUGAGGACGAAAGUCCUUUUAGUAGUGGAUAAUGUAAUGAGCCUUCAAUUUAUUUUUCAUAUUUACACUUAUCUUCACUGUUUGAGAUUUUCCAUAGCUACCUCAAGCCCUUAAUUACUUGCUGAGACUGACAGUUCGGUUACUGAGUAGUUCAUUUGGUUUCUAGAGUCAAUUUUCUAUUUUAAAGUCUUUGCUGGUUCCAGUGGCCAUCAGGCAAGAACUUCAAUGAAAUAAUCUCGGAUGGAAACUCCGACUGCACCAGCCAAUCAAAAAUAUCAUUUUUUGAUUGGUUAGACCUUUGGUUUGGGAUCUAAUGCACCCAAGCUCAUUUCAAUUUAUCAAUCGAAAAGUUGAAAAAUUUUAAAGUUUAGGUGUGGGCCCAUAUUUGGUUGAAAUGACCUCGAAUUAAAAAUCUGACUUCACCAACGCAUUCGAAACUUCAAGUCUCCUUCCGCAGUCAUAGUUCUUUGAUACCCAACAAGGCCAGAGGAUAUUGUGAUGAUAUUGAUUCCUAGCAAGGACGAAGGAUAUUAUGAUGAUGAUAUUGAUAAAUGGCAAGGUCGGAGGAUACUGUGAUGAUGUAUUGAUACCCUGCAAGGCCUGAGGAUAUUGUGAUGAUGAUAUUAAUAUCUGAUAAGGCCGGAGGAUAUUGUGAUGAAGAUAUUGAUAUUCGACGAGGCCGGGGGAUAUUGUGAUGAUGAUAUUGAUACUAGGUAAGGCCGAAGGAUACUGUGAUAAUGUAUCGAUACUUAGCAAGGCCAGAGGUUUAUUAUGCUGAUGAUGACAACUAUGAUGGAGAUGGUUGUGAUGAUGAGAUUUUGAUAUUGAUUGUGUACUUUGCAUUCAUUCAUGUAUGGGCAUCGCCUAUCACUAGUAUGGACCUAGGUCUAUCAGCCGGUAUGGGAUGGUUGUAUAUAUAUUAGUGAAGAGUAUACCUUGUGUUUUUGUAUGUUGAUUGAACUUUCCGAGUCUGGGGUGGUGGGGGUACGCAUAGGAUCGGCUAGACAUAUGGUUGUUUGGAGUAGUCGGUAUUCACGUUGUUAUUGAUAUUGUUAUUAUCAUUGUUAUGAUUAUUAUUAUGGAUAGCUUAUGACAAAUUGGUCAUUGAUCCGAUAUCAAGAUUUGAGGUAUGCUUUUGACCUCUUCUAUCUUAUGAUGUCACUAUUAUGCAUGAUUAUUUCAUGUCUAGCAAUGUGGAUUAUAAACCUGAGUAUGAUGGCCUUAGAUCCUCAUAGCAUUAUAAUGAGGUCUUAGAAUGAAGAUGUGAUGAUCUAGGUUAUGCUUUGUGAUGACCCCAUGUUAUAUGCAUAUAUAUAUAUAUAUAUAUAUAUAGGUAUAUGAAGUUAUGGUACUACCGUAUAUCCCUUCAUUCAUUUGUUCAUACUGUAUACUCUUUUCUUGGCCAUGUAUAUUGCUAUUAUCCUUUUAUCUCUCUUCAUUUGUAUAUUGACCUGGGACAUACGGUAUAGUAUUCAUGCUUAAUAAAUGUGGCUGAAAUAGGAUGAGUUCACCCUGAUACUUCCUUAGUCCUAUUAUGUUAAACUAUUGGACUUCAAGAUAGUUGUCCCUUAUUAUUCUCCUUUACUUGUUAUAUGAUUUCCAAACUCUUGGGUGUAUAUUCCAUUCUGUUUAUAUGUUGUAUAUAUCUGCAUUAUCUUUGGAGCUCAGUUGGCAGUUGCCUACUAAGUACCAUUGAUUUGGUACUCAUACUACACUUCUAUAGCCUGCAGAUCAUAGUAUGGGUUAUCGCCAUUAAUGUAUGCAUCAUGCGGAGCAGUCAUGGUUCAAAAACUUAGAGUGAG